GCUUACUCUGACCCUGCUUCUAUCAAAGGUCAUGUUAAGGCUCUUCUCCAUUCGAGAGAUGAAGAGCGUUUGAGGGGCAUCAGAGUUGGGGGGCGAGUGAAUUAUGGUGUUUCUACGAUUUACCAAGCUAUUCAAGCAGUCCUCUACAACAAUUUCUCUUAAUCAUAAGAACAGGCUUUGAACAAGGAGCAGUCUAGACUUAGCAAGGAAGUGGAGAACUUGAAACUGGAAGGAGAGACUACCAAAUCAUCAUAUGACAAGCUCAAACUGGAUUAUUCCUCGUUGAACACUGAGUUGGAGCGUGUGCAUGCCAGACUCAAGGAGUAGGAGGCUAAUUAUGUCGCAUUGUACCAGGAGGUUGAUGAUAUUUCGCUCAAGACUGCCAUCAAGACAAGGGGGAGUUGAUGAUACAGUAUAAGAAAGGGCUCCAUCGUGGAUGGGAUGUCGAUGGUGCUAUUGCACUUCAUGAAGAAUAUUUAGCUCUUGAGCAAGAGAAUGAGAUGGAUGUUGACGCUCAUAUCUCUAUGUCUGGUGUGAGCGUCGAUGCUCAUACCUCUGUCCCUGGUAUGGGUGUCGAUGCUCAUACUUCUAUUUCUGGCGGGUGUGGCAUUGACGAUGUGAUGUUCUCCAUUGCUAAAUAUGGUACCAUUGCUCCAUAGUGCGUCUUUUUAAGUUUAUCCCUUUGGUUUACAAGUGACAAUUGAUUUAAACUCUUAAGUCUUUUUUGUUUAAAGCAUGAACAUCGCCAUAGUGGUAUUGAGUAUGUAUGCUUAACGAUCCUUUUGAUGUGCGGACAUCCUCUUAGCAAUUUCCCUUUUGAAUUUUAUGACGCUUUGAUGUAUGAACGUUGCCUUUGCGGUGGUAUGACUUAUUAUCUUAAUUUGGUAUUAAUAUUCUUCA